rnacentral:lncRNA from 1 species
CAAGGAAUGCCUCUGAAAUUCUUCGUAAAGUAUAGCUCAUCUCUGGCCAGGUGUUUGUUUAACCUAAAAAGAUACCUGCUGAAGCAAGAAGGAUUACGUGCAUUUUCCUCUACCAGCUCCUUCUGCGCCCUGCUGCGUUUGCUAAGGAGAUGCCAGGCAACAGCUCCUAUGGAUAUCUGUUACUGGAUGCAGUGCCAACCUCCCACAAAAGCAGCAGUAUUUGUGGAAUCCAUGUCAGCUGAGGGUGUGUGAAGUCUUGGGCUUGCAGUCUGCAGGUCUUCUGACAGCAGGGGCCAACAGCCAGUGCAGGCUUGGAGCAUUCUCUGCACGCAUCCCUGUAUCAUCCCUGUAUCAUCUCAGUUCUCAUUAGGAAGAAUAUUCAGGAUUGGGUGCAGUUUCUAAAAGAUAUCUUAUGAACAGCUAACUCUAUCUCCACUCUUUCCAAAUCCCCUCCAAGUAUUCAUGCUCUUCUCUCUUGUACAUUGGUGGUUUUCUUUGUAUCAGGGAGAUCUUCCCACACUCAUGAAAUGCUUUUGUUCUCUUGACAGUAUUUGUUGACAUGGAUGGAUUGGAUACAGAAAACGAUCAUGCACAUCUGAAUGUCCUGGAACAAUAUGAGGUCUUUUUAUUCAGUGUAUCAGAGAAAAGAAGAUGCAGCAGAACAUUGCUAUUACUGGACUCCAGCUGUGAACCCUCUGAGAGACUGUGUGAGGAAUGAAUGCCCCUCAGGUGAGUGCUCCACCAUAGUCUGCAUCCUGGCUUUUUGGAAUAAAUGGGAUUUCUUCACCAGUGAAGAUCAGACAUCUCCCAAAAUGGAAGCUAGUUCAGACCACAAAGCCAUCACUAAACUGUGACCACCACUCAGAUCAUCCACUAUUUAAAACACAUUAAAAAAAACACUGAGAAGUUAUUUCAGCUGUAGAGUUCAUGGGUUUGCAAAGUAUUGCAAAAUGGAGACUACUCUUCACGAUGUAGGCUAAUAUUUUUAAUAAUAGAAAACCAAAGAGGUCUCAUUUUGCUGUACUUAAGCAGCAGCUAUCUUCCUGCUCUGGGUCUGGAUUAAUACACAUCCUUGGAAGAAAAUAAUUAGGUUCUUAAGUGUGAGUCAAAUGUCACAUUAUGAAUAGUGCAUGUCUUCGUGAUGAAGAAAUGCUACAUAUGAGUUUAGUCUCUUAACUACAUUCUCAGCCAAAUCUUCUGGAAAUUACUUAAUAUGUGUGAACAACAUAAACUGCAAUCAAAUCUAGAGAGGGAAUUUUGUCCCUGAAAUACAGCUCAUUAGGUCCUAGGGAUUAUCAAAUCAGCCAAUUUGCUCUACCAUUAGUUUCUCUUGAACAAAAGGAGUCUAUUUGUGUCUUAAGUGUAUGUCAUGAAUAAUGGGAUAGUGUUCUGACCAAGUUGCAGACUUGACAGGCACGGUGGCAAAGGCAUGAUAUAGGGCAUAGUGCUGUUCUUGAGCUCCUAUCGAGAAAUAUCAAACAACUUUAAAAGGAUUUAUUUUGCAAAUAUUGUGUGAGAUUUUUGUCAAAAUGGAAAGCUAAAUGAAACAUUAUAACAGUGCUGCUACAUAGGAUGCCUAUAUAUCUUCAUCUACCCAAUGUGUUUCAAUUCCCUUAAAUCCUCAUUUAUCUUCAGAAAUUCUUAAAUGCCCUCAAUAUGCCAUAACACUUAGACUAGGGGAGAUGUUACUGUUCCAUAAGCAUCUACCUGAAAGCACACCCAUGUUCCUUUUCCAAAUUCUCAUCCAGAAUGACAUCUCACUGCAAAGUAAUUGCUGUUGUUUCCUUCUCUGGUCCAUGAUCAUUCAACUCUCCUUCAUUUUCUCUAAAGAGUAUGUAAACAAAAUUUCAUCUAAAAUGACAAGUCUACUUUAUGAUGAUUCUGCCGGUGAACUACUAGAAAGGACCUUUGCAAGCAUUUAAUCUUGAUUGCCAAAACUGUUGUUCUGUCAUCUGGAAACACAGUGCACCAUCUGGAAGGGCUAGAACAAACCUAACUGUAGUUUGCAUGCUGCUGUUGUUUUGGUCAUGAGAACAUUCUGUUGCAAGACAGCCCACUCUUAUGCACAUUGACCCAUCAACUUGAUCAGGUUGCUUUGACUUCUACUCCAAGUAUCUUACUAAAACUCAUACAACCCCUAAUAUAUCUCUGUAAUAGAGAAAAUCUGUUAUUUUAGCAGCACAUACAGAAUAAAACCCUAAAAGCUGUGUAUGCUUAAAGCA